rnacentral:misc_RNA from 1 species
UACGAGCAAGGUGAAACGUAUAAAAAAAAAUGGUACUCGUAACUCUGUCGCUCAUAGCAAAAAAUAUCAAUUACGAAAGAAUAGUGGAGUAAAUUAUUUGGAAACAGAAAGUUCAGAUAAUGCUGAGGAAAAGGAAUCAGAAUUCAACGGUGAUGUUAAACGCAAAAUUGUGUGGACGUCCAAUGAUCAAGCUAAACAUAAUAAUCGAAUUCUAAGUAUACUAAACAACGGUUCGCUUGGAGAUCUGAAGAACUUAGCACGUGUUGGACCGAAAGCUGCUGAAAUGCUUCUCCAUUUCAGAAGGGCUCAUGGACCUCUGAACUCUCUCAGAGACUUGGAAAAGAUGUCUGGGUGGACUGCAAAGGUCUUCCAGCAAUUCUUGGGAUCCAACGGCAUUGUUCUCGACUGAUUGAUCUGCUUUGUAUGUACGUUUGUUGCAUAGCGCAAUGCGUGCACAUUUUUGUACCGUAUUUUGAUCAGUGGGCACUAAUUGGAUAUUCGAGAUGGAAGUCUACGAAUAUCAACAGCAUAUUCGAAGUGAAUUCUUGAGUGUUUACUAUAUUAUUACAUUGAUAAUACUAUAUAUACUUUCUAUUUAAAUUGUUAUUUUGAUGUUUAGUUUUUGGUACGACGUACCAUGCAAUACAAUGUUAUACAUUCAUAAAGAUAUACAAAGAAUAAAGGGUGUUGAUAUCUACUUUUACUUAACUUGAGCUUCACACUUAAAACUGGAUUUGUUUGUUUAAAAAUGUUUAGCAAAUAUUUUUAUUUAUAAAUUACAUAUAAUUUCCAUUAUUGUUACAUCACUCGCUAUCAUCUGUAUCUUCAACUAAGACAACGUCAUGCCCAGGAAGCAUUCUUGGAUCAAAUGUUGUUUGAAAGCAUUUUUUGAAGAUUACCCUUGCUGUGUUAGUAGGAUGUUUCGGUGGCGAAUUCGGCACAAUAUCUUCGUUGACAGGUAAUACCGGAGGGUUAGUAUUUGAUUUGUUUGUAAUUGUUGAAAAUACUGAGUUCACUGUAGCCUUAGAAACUGAAACUGUGCUUGCGUUGCUGGAAAAUAUAUUCUGCUUUUUCGAAUAACUGGGCUUACCUAUACUACUUGUUUCAGAAUUUUUGUCGGGAUAAUUUAUGUUAUUAUCACCCAAUAUAUUAUCAGCAUUUGUUACAACCAAACCAUUAUCGUUCGAAUCAACAGCCAUUGGUUCUUCUUGGUGGAUGCUAUCGCUGUUUCUGCUCUGAUCGAGGUUGGUGACUGCCAUUGGCUUACUUGUAUUUGUAUUUGUCAUUCUCUCGAAUUUCCCUGAUAUUUUUUUUGUUCUACGAUUGACAGGCUGAGUCGUUUUCUUAGCUGCGCGCUUGUUGGCCGCUGAUUUUUUAACUAGAGU